CGUCCGUGAUGAACAACCUUUUCAUUCAGUUCUGCUACUGAGAUCUGUGAUGAUACCCAUUUACCAAAAAGAACUUUCUGAUGG
rfam:Colletotrichum gloeosporioides Nara gc5 unplaced genomic scaffold scaffold676, whole genome shotgun sequence.